rnacentral:piRNA from 1 species
UGAGCUUCUAUCCUACAACUUAACAAAUGC